AGAGUUUGAUCCUGGCUCAGAGUGAACGCUGGCGGCAUGCCUAACACAUGCAAGUCAAACGGGGCUUGGCAGCUUAUCGUCAAGUCAAGUGGCAAACGGGUGAGUAAUACGUCACCAAUCUUCCUUCGAGUGGGGGAUAACUCCGGGAAACCGGAGCUAAUACCGCGUGAGACCACGUCUCGGCAUCGAGAUGAGGUUAAAGUUCCGCAAGGGACGCUUGAAGAGGAGGGGACGGCCUAUCAGCUUGUUGGCGGGGUAACGGCCCACCAAGGCUACGACGGGUAACCGGUCUGAAAGGACGACCGGUCACAAUGGCACUGAGACACGGGCCAUACUCCUACGGGAGGCAGCAGUGGGGAAUUUUGCGCAAUGGGGGAAACCCUGACGCAGCAAUGCCGCGUGGAGGACGAAGGUCUUCGGAUUGUAAACUCCUUUUGCCGGUGAAAAACGACGGUGUGAAUAACACCGACUGAUGGUAACCGGU
rnacentral:rRNA from 1 species